UUGAGCACCUGUUUUCAACAAUCUCCCUUUUGGGCAGAGAAUGAGUUGGUUUUCAUUGAUGUCAGAUGGUGUUGUUUGGGAUGCUUCGGCGUCGACCUCUGCCAAUUACUUGCGGGCUCGUUUCUGCAGACAACUGUAUUUCUGUUUUUUUUACAAAAGGCAAAUCACUUUGGGUUUUGUGUAACAAUCCUUCAGCCUUGAUCCCCAAACAAGAUCGUGGGCUGUUGGUUUUAUUGUGACAAGACCAUUACAAAUUAACCUAUUUCACCACACCUUUUUGCUAGUUGACUUUUUAUAUGUUGUUCUAUUUCUCGAAUUUAUUUUUGAGAAGCAGUUCACACGUUUAUUUACUUGAACGUUAAAAAAUACAACUCUUAGCAAUGGAUAUCUUGGUUCUCGCAACGAUGAAGAACGCAGCGAAAUGCGAUACGUAAUGCGAAUUGCAGAAUUCAGUGAAUCAUCAAAUCUUUGAACGCAAAUUGCGCUCUUGGGUAGCCCUAGGAGCACGCCUCUCUCAGUAUCGGUUCAACAAUCUCUCAGCAGCGUGUUUGUGAAAAUAAAUUUAUUUAUUCUUGCAGAUGCGUGUUGGCUGGAUAAUGAGAGUCUGAGCACAAUAGAAUUUAUUUUUUAUAUAGCUCAGUCUCUUGAAAUACAUGGAAUAAACAUGACUAGCGAUCAGUUCAAUUGCUCAAUUUAUUGAGUGAUGGAUAGUCAGCUUCUGAGCUGUCGUUCGAUUAGUGACGUGAAUAUUGGCCUUUAUUGGUCUCUAACCUUUUACGUUUAUCUAAUUUCGUCUGACAAUU
rnacentral:rRNA from 1 species